CAAUGCUUUCUUUCCCCUCCACUUAUGUUUCAGGUCUUGGACCUGUUCCUGGGCUCCUGCACACUGAUAUCCAUCUCACCCGCUUCUAAGUGUCCGUCACAGUCGGCGUGGAAACAUGGAAGUUCCCUCCAAAUUGCACAACGCUUUCUUUCCCCUCCACUUAUGUUUCAGGUCUUGGAUCUCUUCCUGGGCUCCUGCACUCUGAUAUCCAUCUCACCCGCUUCUAAGUGUCCGUCACAACCAGUGUGGAAAGCUGGAAGUUCCCUCCAGAUUGCACAACGCUUUCUUUGCACUCUCCUUGUGUUUCACGUCUUGGAUCUCUUCCUGGGCUCCUGCACUCUGAUAUCUAUCUCACCCG
ensembl:lncRNA